rnacentral:rRNA from 1 species
AUACGGAGGAUCCGAGCGUUAUCCGGAUUUAUUGGGUUUAAAGGGAGCGUAGGUGGACAGUUAAGUCAGUUGUGAAAGUUUGCGGCUCAACCGUAAAAUUGCAGUUGAUACUGGCUGUCUUGAGUACAGUAGAGGUGGGCGGAAUUCGUGGUGUAGCGGUGAAAUGCUUAGAUAUCACGAAGAACUCCGAUUGCGAAGGCAGCUCACUGGACUGCAACUGACACUGAUGCUCGAAAGUGCGGGUAUCAAACAGGAUUAGAUACCCUGGUAGUCCGCACAGUAAACGAUGAAUACUCGCUGUUUGCGAUACACUGUAAGCGGCCAAGCGAAAGCGUUAAGUAUUCCACCUGGGGAGUACGCCGGCAACGGUGAAACUCAAAGGAAUUGACGGGG